AUGGAUGGCCAGCUGCCUGAGCCCCUCAGCUUCUCCACCUCUCUCCCUGCUCUCAACCACUGGGACCUGGGACUUGAUGGGAGAGGACAGGUCCAGAGCAGUGGGGCUUAGGGACAGGAGAGCAGGCUCAGUGUGUGGAGAUCACGUGAGGCACCAGGAGGAACUGCCCAGGAUCUGGGCUUCUGCCAGUGUGGGCGCUGAAAGCUGCUUCAAGUCUGAUCAAGAAAUCUUGCCCAAGCACCCUGGGGUUCUGCUGGGGACCCUCAUUACCUUUAGGACAAGGUCACCAAGGUUGGACAGAAAUGUGUGGAUGCUCUUCUGUGCAGGAACUCAGCCAUCAGUCACCAAAUGAUUGGGGUCUUCGUCUUGCUGCUCUGCAGGACUGUGGGGGCCCAGGAGAGCAGAGCGGCUGCAGCUGUGGCUCACCAGCCCCAGGGGAGACAGAGCAUCAGCAGCUGGCCUGCCCACUCCCUUCUUCUGCUCCCCUAAAGCUUCUUCCCGCAAAUGCCACCCUCCACUUGGCCGGCCCCCCAUGGCCCCACCAUCCUCCACUCCUAGCUUUACCCUAUGAAACUUGCAUCACUGCCAAUUCCCUACACUCCCAGCACCAUCCUCACGCCUGCUCCUCCCAGCCUCGCAGCCUCCCAGCACUGUCCUGCUGCUCUGAGGAAUCCACGCAUCCUAUGUCCUGGGUCCCCCGGACUGAGCUGUCUUUCUCCCUCUUACCUCCCCCUUUCUAUGAGUUUGUGGGAAUCUGACUCCCCUCCCACCUACUCCCUCUUCUUAUAGUAGAGGUGGAGCGGGAAUCUUGCAGUGGGGAAGGGACAGUGUCACAGAGGGGGUGGAGGGCCCAGUCUGAGACCAUCACUGCAGGGUUGGGAGACAGCCAGGAAUCAUCCUGAAGCCCUGACAUGGGCCCAUUUUCCAGACAGCAGGGAGCAGUGAGGGCAGAAUUGUUCUGGAGCAGAGAGAGAGAGAGAGAGUCCUGGAAACACCAUAUGUAAAAUAGUCCCGUGAAAAAGGCAUUAGAACUCUAUAUCCAAAGCAAUCCUGGAGUCAAUCCUACUUCAAGCCUAGGACUUUUGACAAAGCAAAGCACUCUUCCCUUUCCUUUGUAAACCUGCUUAGAGUGCCAUUCAUUUGGGGAUCACAGAAAUCUUUGAGUGAUAAAAGGAGUUUCUCUAUGCCGGUCUUUAACUCACUUAUAUUCUGCAGCAUGCAGGAUGAAGGUAGUCAAAAAAUGUCACACUGCUGGGUUGGGAGAUACUAGUUGGAAGGAAAUCCGACCCAAAGAGAACUCUCUGCUCAUGACCUUCCCUCCCCUUUCAGUGUCUGGGCCUAAGGCUCCAUGGUUGUCUUAAACGGGAAGAGGUGACUGCUCUCCUCCCAAGUCCUAAUCUUACAGCAGGCGGCACAGAAGGCUUUUCCGUUGUUUCUUGAAGAAGCUGUGACAUGGGCACCAUUUCUCUAAAGGGAAAACAAAGUAUAGAAGAGCUUUCCUAAUGUUGGUUACAUACCCAGCUCUGAAGGCAGGCCACAGAGGUUCACAGCCCCUCUCCACCGCCUCCUGGACUGAGUCCUGUGACUUUGCGUGCCAGCCAUGUAAGAGGGAGAUGGUGGCAGAACCUCACUUGCAGAGUAGUUUCCAUGAUCAAAUGAGUUGGCACGUAUGAAGCAUUUAGCCUGUUCCUGGCAUGUCCUUUCCCUGGCUGCCAUGUUAGGGGGACUCAACCGACCUGGAGACCCUUAUACUGGCAGCCUCUGACAACAAACUCGUUGGCAGAUUCUGAGCUAGACACAGACUCUGCCCACGGUCUAGUAGGGCUCCGGUCACAAACCGAAUGGUGCACGCUGUGCAGCGAGGCAGACGAACUGCACCCACAGGGAUACGCCAUCUGAGCUGGGUUUGUCAGAAGGGCUGGGCCACGGGGCGUGAGGGAGAAAAAGAGAGCUGGAUGGAGAAAGGUGUGGCUGUGGUGUUGGGGGGAAGUGAUGGGCAGCCUGCUACAUCAGUGGGUCCCUGCGUCCAGAGAAUGACCCUGGAUACUGGUCUGCAGGAGGUGAGAUUCAACGGUUUUGUUUGUUUUAAUUUUAAAGCAUCUUUUUUUGCUGAUAUAAAAGUUACAGUGAAACACUUUGGGAAAUUAAAAAUGAAAGCAAAAGUGAAAAGCAAAUAGUGAAGGGUCCCACAACUGACCAGAAUUUUAGAGGACUUAUUUCCAGAAUUAUGAGUUUAUUCCAUCAAUGACUAGGGAGGGGUGCAGGCUUGGUCUUUCACCAUGAAGGAUCCCAUCCCGCUUGUCAGGGAGUAAAAUGCACUUGAAAUCAAGACAUUCUUCAAGCUCCCCUUUGGGUCAGUGCCAGCGUCCCCUCCUAUGCAUGCCCUGAACAGCCUUCUCUCUUCAUCUGCCUCCCUCCUGGGUUUUCUUCCACCUUCUUCAGUUCUCACUUCAAAUCUUGGCCUCCCUGUAUCUCCACAUUCAUCAGAGUGAAACAUCUGUAAAACUGACACAGAUUUCUCUUGCUAAUUCAUAUUUUUUUCCCCAAGGACUCCUCCUAUUAAGGGUGGGAUGGAGCAAGACAUUGGGGGUGAAGGGGACCUAGUACCCCUUUUGUUCCACUGUGGGACAAAAAUACAUGGGGUGGAGCAGAAGACUCUGGGCCUCUCCCCUUCCUUUCCUCUCCCUUUCCCUGUCUCUCCCUCUCAGGAUGCUGGGAUGCCACUGGGGACCUUGACAGUUGUCGGGAUAGAAUAGCUGCAAUUGGACCUUGAUUGUGUGCAGUUUGGGACCACUUCACCUAAAUGAAUACUGGUAAGAUUCCAGUGUAUCUUGGUGGCCCCUCUGCCCCUCAUCACUUGCACCCCUGCUCACUCUGCAAGUUCAAGGUGCUGGUGGAGUCCCUGAGUUCUCUUCUGGUCACCACCGAGGCAAAUGCCCUCUCUUGCAUCAGGUAGAUUCUUGCUGCAGCCGCCUUCCCACUAUUCUCUGGCUGGCAGAAUUCUGCAGUGUUUCUGCCCUGGGGCUCUACCAUUUCCUGAGUUUCCAGCACUAAUACAUGCUUUCCCCAUUUGUAUAUACCAGCAGGAAAGUGGGAGUUGGUGAGAUGUAAAGCCUCAAAUCUCUGUCUUACAAAGACAUUUUACAAUUUUCUGUAAAAAGAAAAAUCAAUAUAGUGUUAAUGGUACCUUUAGAGAUGAAAUAAAUGAACAAAGCCUACCUUUACCAUACUACAGAGGUCAUACAUUACAGACCCCAUCACACGCCUAAAGCUCUGAGGACCUCUGGGAGAGUUUGGCAGCCACUCCGCUGUCUUGCCAGCCUUGCCAAGGGAGGCUGUGGAUUGAUCCUCUUGGCUGGCUGGUGUGUCAAUGGCUACCCCUCAAGACUCUUUCUUGAUGGGCCCCUUAGGAAGUUAGCCAAUCCUCCUAUCUGUGCAUGUGGCCAACACAGCCCCUCUUUGUGUACUGUACUCAUCUUGCAGAGAGAAGCCUUUUCCAAAGACUGAGAAACUUUGGCUUAGCUCAAAUAGUCAUCUGUUUUCUCCUGGGCAUGUGACAAGACUUAAAGUUUGGAAAAUCACUGAGUUA